rnacentral:rRNA from 1 species
GGGAGAUUGGAAUUCCUGGUGUAGCGGUGGAAUGCGCAGAUAUCAGGAGGAACACCAAUGGCGAAGGCAGAUCUCUGGGCCGUAACUGACGCUGAGGAGCGAAAGCAUGGGGAGCGAACAGGAUUAGAUACCCUGGUAGUCCAUGCCGUAAACGUUGGGAACUAGAUGUGGGGACCAUUCCACGGUCUCCGUGUCGCAGCUAACGCAUUAAGUUCCCCGCCUGGGGAGUACGGCCGCAAGGCUAAAACUCAAAGGAAUUGACGGGGGCCCGCACAAGCGGCGGAGCAUGCGGAUUAAUUCGAUGCAACGCGAAGAACCUUACCAAGGCUUGACAUAUAGAGGAAACGUCUGGAAACAGUCGCCCCGCAAGGUCUCUAUACAGGUGGUGCAUGGUUGUCGUCAGCUCGUGUCGUGAGAUGUUGGGUUAAGUCCCGCAACGAGCGCAACCCUCGUCCUAUGUUGCCAGCACGUAAUGGUGGGAACUCAUGGGAUACUGCCGGGGUCAACUCGGAGGAAGGUGGGGAUGACGUCAAAUCAUCAUGCCCCUUAUGUCUUGGGCUUCACGCAUGCUACAAUGGCCGGUACAAAGGGCUGCAAUACCGCAAGGUGGAGCGAAUCCCAAAAAGCCGGUCUCAGUUCGGAUUGAGGUCUGCAACUCGACCUCAUGAAGUCGGAGUCGCUAGUAAUCGCAGAUCAGCAACGCUGCGGUGAAUACGUUCCCGGGCCUUGUACACACCGCCCGUCAAGUCAUGAAAGUCGGUAACACCCGAAGCCAGUGGCCUAACCCGCAAGGGGAGGAG